rnacentral:tRNA from 1 species
CGGGGUGUGGCGCAGUCCGGUAGCGCACUUGAUUCGGGUUCAAGGGGCCGGGGGUUCAAAUCCUCUCACCCCGACCA